UUGAAUUUUAAUGAAGAGUUUGGUUGUAGCUGGCCCAUUCAUUUGGGCAUGUGCACACCUUCCUCUUUCAUCCCACACACACCUGUGAACCUGUGAGACAGAGAUGGGGAAUUUAAUUGCUGCUUUUUGGAAUACAAAGGCAAUAGGUUAUUGGACCCCCCCUCUGUCUACUCAAUUAAUAUAAACUCAAUUUAUUUUAAAACGAAUGUAAUGGAUGUAACACAUCUCAUAC
rnacentral:misc_RNA from 1 species